AAUGAACGCUGGCGGCGUGGUUAAGACAUGCAAGUCGAGCGAGAAGGUGUAGCAAUACACUUGUAAAGCGGCGAACGGGUGAGGAAUACAUGGGUAAUCUACCAUCGAGUGGGGAAUAACCAGCCGAAAGGUUGGCUAAUACCGCGUACGCUUCCGAGUCUUCGGGCUUGGAAGGAAAGCCGCACUGUGAGUGCGGCGCUCUUUGAUGAGCUCAUGUCCUAUCAGCUUGUUGGUAGGGUAACGGCCUACCAAGGCUUUGACGGGUAGCUGGUCUGAGAGGACGAUCAGCCACACUGGCACUGCGACACGGGCCAGACUCCUACGGGAGGCAGCAGUAAGGAAUAUUGCGCAAUGGGCGAAAGCCUGACGCAGCGACGCCGCGUGGGGGAUGAAGGUCUUCGGAUUGUAAACCCCUUUCGGGAGGGAAGAUGGAGCGAGCAAUCGUUCGGACGGUACCUCCAGAAGCAGCCACGGCCAACUUCGUGCCAGCA
rnacentral:rRNA from 1 species